GGACUACUCGGGUUUCUAAUCCUGUUUGAUCCCCACGCUUUCGUGCCUCAGCGUCAAUAAUGGUUUAGUGAUCUGCCUUCGCAAUCGGUGUUCUGUUGCAUAUCUAAGCAUUUCACCGCUACAUGCAACAUUCCAACCACCUCAACCAUAUUCGAGACGAUCAGUUUCAAUGGCAAUUCUACAGUUAAGCUGCAGGCUUUCACCACUGACUUAAUCACCCGCCUACGCACCCUUUAAACCCAGUAAAUCCGGACAACGCUUGGAUCCUUCGUAUUACCGCGGCUGCUGGCAC
rnacentral:rRNA from 1 species